UGCGAACUCCUACGGGAGGCAGCAGUGGGGAAUUUUGGACAAUGGGGGCAACCCUGAUCCAGCAAUGCCGCGUGAGUGAAGAAGGCCUUCGGGUUGUAAAGCUCUUUUGUCAGGGAAGAAACGGUAGUAGCUAAUAUCUAUUACUAAUGACGGUACCUGAAGAAUAAGCACCGGCUAACUACGUGCCAGCAGCCGCGGUAAUACGUAGGGUGCAAGCGUUAAUCGGAGUUACUGGGCGUAAAGCGUGCGCAGGCGGUUGUGUAAGUCAGAUGUGAAAUCCCCGGGCUCAACCUGGGAAUUGCAUUUGAGACUGCAAGGCUAGAGUGUGUCAGAGGGGGGUAGAAUUCCACGUGUAGCAGUGGAAUGCGUAGAUAUGUGGAGGAAUACCGGUGGCGAAGGCAGCCCCCUGGGAUAACACUGACGCUCAUGCACGAAAGCGUGGGGAGCAAACAGGAUUAGAUACCCCAGUAGUCCAGAUG
rnacentral:rRNA from 1 species